rnacentral:ncRNA from 1 species
GUUAUCAAGAGUGGACGAGAGAACCGGCUCAAUAACUCCACAGCAACCUGUUUUAAAAUAAGGUGCUAAUACCGGCAAAGCAAUUGCUUUGGAUGAUGA